GUCAUUUUGUUCAAGAGAA
rnacentral:snRNA from 1 species